rnacentral:tRNA from 1 species
AGACGAUUAGUCCAAUGAAAGACCACUGAUUUCGGCUCAGUAGAACAUGGUUCAACUCCAUGAUCGCCUU